AAAAUUAGAGUGUUCAAAGCAGGCAGAUCCAAUUUUCUGCCACCGAAUACAUUAGCAUGGGAUAAUGGAAUAGGACCCUGUCCUCCUAUUUUCAGUUGGUUUUGGCAGCGCGAGGACUAGGGUAAUGAUUAAUAGGGAUAGUUGGGGGCAUUAAUAUUUAAUUGUCAGAGGUGAAAUUCUUGGAUUUAUGAAAGAUUAACUUCUGCGAAAGCAUCUGCCAAGGAUGUUUUCAUUAAUCAAGAACGAAAGUUAGGGGAUCGAAGACGAUCAGAUACCGUCGUAGUCUUAACCAUAAACGAUGCCGACCAGCGAUUAGGAGACGUUGAAUACAAAACACCACCAUCGGUGCGGUCGUCCUUGGCGUUGGUCUUCAAAAGCCAGCGCGGGGGUGGCUUAGCCCGGUGGCACCGGUGAA
rnacentral:rRNA from 1 species